AUAGAGUUGUCCUUCACAGCACUCUGGAAAAAACAUGAGGACAAUUGACACCAAGACUUGUUACCUGUAUACCUACCCAUGUAUCUAUAUCUCAACUUCACAGACCUCACAACUCUUACAGACUUCUAAGAAGUUGUAAUUUUCCAAUGACAGUCUCUGCUCAUUUAUUUUCAACCGAGACCGCUUCAAUCUGGAGUUUUCCAGUACAGAGCUCCAAUACAAGCUUGAGAGACUGCAUGGCUGUACAGGGAUGCAGCAAAAGAUUGAGAGGAAAAGGGAGCACAAAUGUGCCUGCAGGAGGCAAAGUCCCUUGGCAAAGCUGCAAUUAAAUAUUAAAAGCUGAUGUUCAAAUGGAGAUGGUGUGAAUCAGAGAGCUGGCACUGAAGAGCGAGGAAGAUGAAGCCUUCUCCCUGCUUCUCCUAGUCUGUUGCUUGUUAUUGAGGUCUCAUUCUUCUUCAU